rnacentral:rRNA from 1 species
UACAGAGGUCUCAAGCGUUGUUCGGAUUCAUUGGGCGUAAAGGGUGCGUAGGCGGCGCGGUAAGUCGGGUGUGAAAUUUCGAGGCUUAACUUCGAAACUGCAUUCGAUACUGCCGUGUCUAGAGGACUGGAGAGGAGACUGGAAUUUACGGUGUAGCGGUGAAAUGCGUAGAUAUCGUAAGGAAGACCAGUGGCGAAGGCGGGUCUCGUGGACAGUUCCUGACGCUGAGGCACGAAGGCCAGGGGAGCAAACGGG